UGGUGGAAGCUCUGCUCAGAAGAGGUGACCAUGGCACAAAAAGACACAGCAUCUGGCCAACUGUUGGCUACGAUGGUCAGUGACACCACUCUCCACGUUUAUGAACAUAAGAGUAAUGAAAGCCAUCACUGUCUCUGGUGUUGGGAUUGCACCCAUGAUCUUCAGGCAUGACCCUCAACAGCUUGCACUUGAGUAAGAACCACAUUAACUCGAAGGAAGCGAUGACUGCAUAAGCCUCUCCCUAAGUAUGAGGGGACCGUUAGAGGAGGACAAAGAACCAUGUAGUGUUAACUUCAACUGCACGGGCACCUUCCUAAGAAAGAGGAGAGCUGCUUUAGCAAGCCUUGCAACUGAAAAUCAUCCCAUCUCUGCCCUUCCUGUCCUCCGUAUUAGAUUCCACCCAGACCAGCAAGUGGCUAUGACAGAAAGGCACAUACAGACGCUGGUAUUUAUUGAGUGCUCAGCACAAGGCAAUAACAAAUUACUAAUUUGCACCACGCUGUCAAACCACAGCUGAAGUGCAGCAAGAGGAAGAGGCUGGAGCUGCAUACAAACACAAAAGGCAUGCAUGCCAAAGCCAUCCCAUGCAUCAUUCCAUUGACUCUAAUGGCAUUUAUCACUUGUGAAUUUGGCUCAGUGUCUUUAUGAAGGCAGGAAAAUAAGAAAGGCAAGCUCAAGAAAACAGCUGGCAAAAAGGUUCUUCUAUAUGUGGGGAUUAUUAAAUGACUGAAACCACAGCUUUUGCCUUAGUGCAGUGUUGGCUUUUGACACAGGGUCUGAGAAGGUAAUGGCUUUAGCCUUUUAUCUGGAAUUUGUUUAUAUUAGCUACAAACCCUAUGUGGUUUCUUGGUUUUUCUCGGUCCCCAAACAUUCUGCUGUGUAAGGCUAGCAUGUAUGUCAGGAAAAUCUGUUUUAAAGCAAAAGGACAAAUUUUCCCCUGGUGUAAUUCCUGUGAAAAUUAAUGUUUUCACACCAGAGUUGACUCAAGUACCAAUUCAGUGUGGGUUUAAAAUCAAGCAAUAUGAUUAAAUAGUUGAAAAGUUGCCCAGCACACUCUGUGCAAGGAACAGGUCUGCCUGACUGCCGUGCAAGUUUUUAGUAUCAGAAGCAAAUUUAUGAAUAAGAAAGAUGUGCUAAGAAGCAUGCAAUGUUUGAAAUUUAGCUUGGAUGACUUCUGUGUGCAAAUUUCAAAGGAAAUGCUCAAUUUAUUGUUAAGCAAAGUUGAUUAAAUAUUCAUUUAUUCCAUGAACUACAACUGAUAGUAUUUUAUUUAAUUACUUGGGCUGUUUUAGUUGUCAUUGUAUGUUGCUUAGUAGUAAAUUCUUAGCUUACCAGGGCUGUAGGGAUUUCUCCUUAUUUAAAUUCAAUCCUUAUUGCAAUUUAUGAUUGCAUGCAAUAUGGAAUUAACACUAAGAUAACUUGCUAAUAAGAAAAGCUUGCUUUUGAAAGACAGAAAAAUGCCCAUCUCUGGUCUCACUGAAGUUAUUAAAUUGCUUGAAUGGUUUUCAAGCCCCUGAUCAUAGAACCAUCGAAUCGCAGAAUGGUUUGGGUGAGAAAGGAACUUAAGGAUCAUCUGGUUCCAACACCCUGCCGUAGGCAGGAACACCUUCUAUCUCCAAAUGAUAAUUAUCAAUUUCUUUUUAAAUUGUCUUAAUUCUGAGAAGCAAUCUGAUUAUAGCAUAGAACCUUGCAGAAUUUUUCCUAUAGCAUAUUAAGGACUCCACCUUUGUAGAACCUGAUUCUGUGCCCAUUGCAGUCACUGGGUACUUGGAGGGGAUAGGACUAGUCUCUUAAUGAUAUAUUUAUAGCUGCAUAGAAGAAAAAUGUGUGUCCGUAAAAAUUUACAUCUUACUCCUCUAAGUAUCUAAUGUAAGGGUGAGAAACGUAUUUCAUAACAUAUAUAUAGUUUUUGAGUAGUUUUAAAGCUACAACUUACUUGGAUUGCUAAUUAAGUUGUUUAUAAUUUUUAAAAUGUUUGCACAGACAUAGUGGCAAUGAAGCUCAGGCACAGAGUGCUGUCCUUUUGAGCACCAUACAGGCAGCCCAUCAUUUGCAAACAUUACAGCUUUACAUUAUCACUGAUGUUCUUCAUAUAAAAAGGUUAUGGCUAAAGCAUUUACAUUUAUUUCAAAGUCAGUAUUCAAACAAUUUGUCAAGACCUUAUUUUCACACACUUUGGUUCACAAGCCAAGUGUUGUGCAGGUUACCGUCCCCAUCCUGCUGGGGGUUCUUUGCUGCUAGUUUUAUUUCCAGGGUCUUUUCAUAGGUAAAGCAGGCACAAGGCCUUAGGCAGUUUGACAUCUCUAGCAGACUGCCAGUGUUGGCAUUUGUUUUAUAAACAUCUAGAGCAAAAAGUUAGCCCUGCUUUUUGCCCUUUUUCCCUUCUUGACUGCUCACCAAUGUGUGUUGUCUAAAUCUGAUUUACAGCUCUUUGGACUCUCAUUUGAUACCAAGAAAUGUAAGGUGAAUUUCUAAAGUUAAACCAAAACUGCUGCUGCUGUGUAUUUUCACCUGCUUAUAAGACAGAACUGAUGCAGUGUGUUCAAUGGCUGGCUGAUGUAUUGGAGAACUCAGAAUACUCGGUAACGUUUUAAAGUACACCUUUUUGUUUUUUGCUUCUGUUGCCAAGCUCCUCUUCUUUGGCCUCACAGCCUUGGAAUUUUUGAAGCAUAACAAGCAGGGAUGAUAUCCAGCGUGUUAAGUUACACAUAGGUAAGGAGCUGAGUGUACAAUGAGAUAUGAGAGCGUGCCUCUACCUUGCUGUGCUGUGUAUGUAGAACACUGAUAUAACGUAUUGUUCUUCCUUAGAUCUUGAUAGACCGAGUCUUAUGAUCGCUGGGGAGGAAAUACCGUUUGUCUCCCAGUGUUUGCGUGCAGUGGCUAGGCUUCAUUCUCAGGUGAUACAAUUUGGAUGGGCAGAGAGAAUUCCUUUCCAGCAGUUUUGUUCCCAUUUGAUCCUUCAUUUACUGAAGCCCGUGGCAAACUGUCAUUGACAAUGUCAACGGAGGCCAAGUGGAACGAUAAAUUACUGGAGCUCUGUGGUGCAGGGCUGCUGGCUCACCGAGUACACAUAGCUGUCUUUUGGAGAGCAUGGACUCACCUCUGUCUGCAGGGGUAGCGUUUCAUGAUUGUCUUUUUAGAUGAUACAGAAGAGCAGCACCUGCUUUUUGGUGGAAAACCUUCCCCCCCCCCCCCCCCCUUCCACACACACACUUUAGACUGUUUUCUUUCUUCUGUUUGCCUCCUCUCUCGCCUCCAAAAGCAGGGGAAAACUUUGCCAAGAAAACACGUUUGUUUGCGCCAUGGCCAGAGGCAGCUGGUAUUCAGCUAGUGGUUUGGAUUGCCUGGCUGGUAGGAGCAGGGGGAGCAGAUAAUGUUGAGAUUUCCCCUGCAUUCCAGCUCUGUUUUCCUCCUAUGGUUAGCAGGCGGUGAGUGUGACUUUUCCCACUCAGCGUUUCCCACAGUCUGUAAGACUUAUCUGACAGUGGAGUUCGUGUCAACUGUCCAAAACUAACUAGGAGAUAUCUUCCUUUCGGCACUCCUGUGCUGUUAGUGCUUAUCAGCGACACUCUCCAACUUAAAUGGCUGCUUAAUUUACAGACGUACUGAGACAAAUUCACUUCUGUUGCAGCUCCAUUGAGUUCAGUGGAGUUAAACUGGGAAUGAGCUUGGCCGUAGGUGUCUGAAAGGCACAAGUGGGAAGAACGUGAUACUAACAGAGUCAAGAGCCACACCACAGUCAAAACAAAAAGGAAGCCCUGAGCCUUGGCAGGGCUCCCAUUUCAGAUUUCUGGAGUGUGAUCCAACAAGGUGUUCAUGUUUUACAGCUGGUGCUGCAAAAGCAAAGUUGUUAUUUUACAGCGAAACAGUAAAAUUUUCCAGUGUCUCCACAUCAAAACGUAGCCUGUGUUAAAAAAAGAACAAAAGGAGAAAUAAGUCAUUGGAUUGCAGAACACAAAUUCUAUUGAGAGUUACAAUGACUUUCAAAUCUGUUGGAGACUUUCAAAAAUACAGAGUGCAACUGAGAUUUUCAUACUGAAGCUGAGAUUUUCAAAUGGGCCUACAAUGGCUAAAUACUGAAAUCCCGUUAAAAUUUCACAGAAACAGGCAACAUGAGAUGGAAUCCAUACCUCCAGCUUUACCCCAAGCCUAAGGUGGCUCCCUGAGUCCCCUUCCUAUCAGCUGGGAGAGAGAAGCACUUUCUGAGUGUGACAUCUUUGCCAGCUGGAGCACACCCCCCUCCACAGGUCUCCUCCAGCACUUCUUCCAGGCAGCCGUUUUGGGGUGGAAUGCCGUGGGACAGCCCCCUCCCUCCCAACUUCCCACCUCCCGCAUUUCUCUUUCCACAUUGGGUGCCUAAAAUUAAGGCACAUGAAUCUGAUACCUAUUACUUUUGAAAAUUCCUUAGAUUUUCACAUUCACAGAUGGUUAGAAUGAACAAAGUGUAAAAGAAGGCAUUUUAAAAUUGUCUUUAACUCAGAUAAUUCAGUUAACCCAGACUAGGAGCAUAAACAGCCAACAACCCAGAGCACUUUGGUCAUUGCUCUACACAAUUCUCUACAAAAUGUAUAUUUUCUAUCUACUGUCUUUUUCUCUUUUAGUCUUCUGGACUCCUUUAUCUGUCUUUGUUCUCUUCAUAUCCUUCUUUGAAAAGUCCAGAUUUAGUUUUCCCCCUUACCAUUUCCACUGACUAUUCAGUCUCCUCUUAGAUGCACUGUUGCUUCACGGUCUGCUUACUCUUCUGCUCAUUAUGCCCUACAGUGCUUUUCCUUUCUUAUUUCUGCUUCUCCUGUUGCCUCCACCCCAUACCUCUGUGUUCUCCAGAGCUCCUAAGCGCUCUCUGGUUCUCAGUGAAAUGGGCCAAGGCCUUUACAAGCUCUAAAGCCAUACAUAAAACUCCCCUCCCCACCUCCCCAUCUUGCUAUCAAAACAAUUCAUUGCUUUUUCUUCUUCUGGUUAAUGAUCCUAUCAUGAUCUGUCAUGACGCCACCCAUGGGUGAUCUAAAAUCAUGAUUUUUUUGUGCCUGGGCAGAGUACUUCCAGACUGAAUGCCUGGACUUGAGCACAUUCUGGAGUCCUCUCUGCGAAUAAGAGAUGGGACACUGUCAGAAAUUGAGAUAAACGUGGAAGUGUUGGAAUACACCAUUCUUAAAGAGGAAAAGAAGACAUUGUGGGCAACAUAAAUGAUUUCAGCUCCCCAUAUUAAUUAUCUUAUGUGUUUCUGAAAACAAAUAAGCAAACAGGAAUAAAUAAAAACCAGAGCAAGAGCAAGCUAUAAUACGCCCAGAUGAGAAUACAGAUGUGGGAUCUAGUGUGGCUCUGUAAAAAUAAAAUAAAUAAAAUUUAAAAAAAAAAGAAAAAAAAAUGAAAAGAGAGAGGAACAUCUUUUUCAUGGGAAAACAGGAAGAGAUACAACUUAUCUGGGCUUUCCAAACUACUAUUCCAGAGAUCAUUGAAACUAAUAGGAAAAAACCUGAGAAAUCAAAGUGUGGGAAGGAAAUUUUAGUUCUAGAAUGCAAACUUUAUAAAAAAUAUAAACACACAAAUUAAACUUGUCAAUUUUCUGAGUGAAGAGAGGCUAAUAACGGGUUGUCUAUAAGAUCUUCGCUAGAAAAAGUAUAAUUUAAAGCUUCAUUAUCUUGACAAGUGAGUGAACAGAUGGCAAAAUCUGUACAAACUCAGGAUUUCCUAGGGUACCAAAGAUUAGAAAGAUUUCCGGGAAUCAAAUUCAGAUCACCAAAGUGAGGUGAUUUGACAGCCUCAAAGCAGAUGGUAUUUCAAUCUACCUAAGUGUGAGGUAAUGCUUAGGAAUGACUGAAGCAUUCACUGAUACCACAUUAUUCAUGAAGUGCUACCAGCUCAGAAAAAACACCUAGGUGACAUUAUGGACAGCUCAAUUAAAACAGCCCAGUGAAAACAGCUGUUCAAUUUGCAGCACUCGUCAUGAAAGCAAAUAAAAUGCUAAUUUAUAUGAACCAUAGAGAACAGCGUUGAUAUUAUUAUAAUGUCAUCAUAUAAAUUCAGGAAACUAUAUCACAGUGACUUCCAGCAUCGUCAACAUCACAAAACUAUCUACAAGAGAGAAGGCUGUAAAGAAUGAUAUGCGGGGAAAAUACAAUUCUUUUACUUAAAGAAGUAAUAAAAAAUGCUGCAGUAAUAAAUUUAAAUCCAACAUUAAGUCAUGGGGAUAUCCAAUGAACAUAAGAUACAGAACAUGUAGCACUCCAAUGUGCUGGAACCUGUUUCCCCAUUAAUGACGACCAUCAAAUCAGCAAGAAACUGGGGGCUUUGUGCUCGUAUAUUCUCAACAAGCACAAUGGGAGCAAACAGGAAAAGGAAAGUGUACACGCUUGAAGGAAGUGAAGCACAUGGGAAUUUUGAGAAUUACUUCAGCAACUCAAGAAUUUCACCAUUAAUGUGAGGUUGUUACUAGUGCUCAGUGCUUGGUCUAAAUUCUGUGGCUUUUUUUAAAGAAUGACUGGAGCAGUUCUUGUAGGAAGGGAGCUUGUCCCUGGUGAUGAUGGAGAAGACCUUGAGUUUUAUUAGAUCUGCACUAAAAGGUAAUUUCUACCUGUGUGAAGUGGAGUAAUGUACCACUGUAACUUUCAAGUAGCACAUACAACCCACUUCACAUUUAUCCUGCCCAGCUAUAAAAGAUGAGCUAUAGGACAGGAGAGAGGAGGAUAAAUCCAAAUCUGUUUAAGUCCUAAAGGAGGAUAAUGUUUCCCAGAUGAAAUAGUAUUCUUUAUGACUUGACUGACAGCAGUAAACUAUUUUAGAUCCCUGCAAAACCAUUUAGCAACAUUUGAGAAUAAAAAAGGAGAAUAGCCUCCAAUCUGAGGCCAUAAGAAGACUGGGCUUUGGUUUUCACAUUUACACCCUAAAUUUUUUCCCUUUAGCAGUGACGUUCCCUAAAACAAUUUUUAAGGCCUGAACUCUGGAACUAUGUAGCUGAUAAUUUUAAUCAAAUUAACAUCAAGGAUUACUUGGCAUAAAUAUUCUCUGUCAUUUAAACUAAGUCAUUUUGUGUCUCAAAAACGAACACUAGGUAAGAUCUUGCUGAGUUCUAAUGCAUUUAGCACCUAUUCUCCAAGCAAUUUACAUGUUUUUUUCUAAUGUCAGUGAUUCAAAAAAAAUUCACUGAAAUGUAGAUCUCAGGUAACUACUACAGAACCGAUUUAUGCCAGCACAAAAUGACAAAAACUUCCUGAAUUGAGUCUGCCUGACAGUGGUGAAAGUAAGCCAUAUGAGUAACAUCUGCAUCUGCAGCACCGUAAGGCUGUUCUGACAUCAUUCAGAGGAAACUGCUUCUCUGGAAACCACUGAAAAUGAACUUUGGAACCAGUAAUACAUACCAGUAAAACACCAACCUUUUCUUACCUUGCUCCACAGGCCUGGGUGCCUAUCUGCUUUGUUUGCGUGGCACUGAAUUGAAGUCAGGAGAACUUUUGCAUAUUUUUUUGCCUCUUACAUGGAGAAGCUGGAGUCUGUUUGGAAGACCACAAUAACUUAUGCUUUGAGUGGUGGGCUAUUGCACUCUGCAGUGAAAUUCUCUCACAUAGACCGUGAUUAUACAGCAGCACAUCAGUGCUCUUUUAAAUUCUGCUGCCUGCUACGACAGUGACACGUUAUAGCUUGCUUACCUCUCUGUCCAUAUAUGUGGUAUUGUCCAUAGAAAAACACAGUACAGCUUUGUUUCCAAGAUACUGCAUCUUGAGUGAGAUUAUGCCAUUUUGUGAACCUGCUCAACCUGCAUCAAGAGGAAGAGUGUAAGCAAAACAAAGGUGAAGAAGCUCCAAAUUUGGUGUCACAAAUAUUUUUUAGACUUACAGUUCUCAGCUAUUUAUCCUUUUGCCUACCUGAUUAUAUGAAGCCAUUACUGACCAGUAUUGGACAUCCUUUGAUAAGUUUCUUCCCCUCAGGCUCUCUUGAGUGGUUUCAAGGGCAGCACUACAGGCCUGUUCGCGUUUCAAUCAAAAAAGUAAACCCCUCAGUGUCUCACAGCGAACCGUUCUCUGCUCAGCUCUAAAAUCUGAAACUGCAGUUGUUGCUGCUGACUUGUUAAUAUAACACAGACAUCGACAUUUCCUGGUUACUGUAAACACUGAAAUGCGUUUGGAGUUAAUGGAAUACAGGUGCUGCCCGACGCUACCAAAAUGUUCUCACAGAAACAGAGACAUUUUUGGAUAGAAAGAGCUGGAGGUCUACCUCAUGCAGCCCCUUCUUCACAGCAUGAAUAUCCUGCUUCUCAGUGGGAAUAUCCAGAUAUGUUAAAUGUCAUGAAAUAAGCAUUCUUCCGAAGCUUAAGCUCCUUUAUACCAGCAGGAACAGUGGUGCCGCUGAACCUGCUGGAGCACAGAUUUCUGUAACACCAGAGCUGAGUGAUGGAGUGGGUUUAGACAGGCCCUGGGUCUGCUGGGAAACCUUCCCAACAGGUCUGUGGGAAAUGAUGCUUGCUAUUGAAUAGCCACCAGUCUUUGCCUCGAAUAAGACACAGAAAACACUGUGACCAACUGCCUGGCUGUUCUUCACUGUGGUAGCAAGAAGAAAUUUGAAAUCAGCCUUAAUAUAAUGAUUAAAGAUCCUGUAGAAGUGUUCAGGUUAAUAGGGGUUAACUUGGGCCUCAGCCAAAUUGUGAUUCUGGUCAUUAUGCCUGAAAUCCUAUCCCCUACUGCAACUGGACACAACAUUUCUUUGUUUCCUGCCCAAAAAUGUCAGCGGCAUUGCUUUGCCAUUAUACAGCCGCCAUGCUCGGUUCCAGAAAUGGCCACGUGUCAAUUCUAUCAAACAUUUUUUAAAAAUCUGUUGAAUAAGUUAAAAUGGUAGCUGUGCAACAAGUAGCACAGGAAGUUCUAAAAAUCCAUAGCUUGCAUUAUAUUGUUAUUGGCAGUAUCCUCCCAUCGGUCAGUAACCUGAAAUCUGGGAAAGUGUGUGUGCACGUGAGCAUUUAUAUAGUUAAAGGAAGUCCUUACCCUUUCUUAAAAGUAAACUGGUAUCGGCAACAGCACCACUGAAUUGUCAUUAGAACCUGUUGUCAAAACUGGUCGUAUUUUCUUGUGUAAUCCAGGAGAGUUAUAAAAAAAAGAACAAGCUCCCAGGUCUCAGAACCAAUAUCCAGAUAUGGUGUGUGCUAAAUUGUCACUGACUGCUGCAAAGCUUUUUUCUGCAAAUGUUUCAAUAACUUCUACUGUGAUGAUAAUAACAGUUGGAAGCUUGGGAAAAAAAAAAAAAAAAAAUCUUAGUUUAGACAAGGUCCCAAUACAAUAUUAAGGAAAUGAGCACUUGGAGCGCAAAGAAAGGUGUAAUUUAGAAUAAUAUAUUUUUGUCAAGCAAUGAAAAGGUGGGGAAAAAAAUGCAACACCAGAAGCUAGAAUGAGAAGAGCAGGGGCAAUAUUCUGCACUGAGACAUUUCUUGUUUCAACAUAACUGCUCGCUUCUUCAGGGGCAUUAAUCACCUUCAAAUGUCAAGCUCUGCUCGAGUAAAAAAAUACUGUGUCUACACACAUAAAAUGUAUGCCACAUUCCCAGUUGCUUAAUCAUUGAAGUGGUUAUUUCUCCAGUGACCAGCUUAGCCCAGCCCAGGCUUUCAUGUCUCCAAUAUGCUAUGUCCACAGAGCAUCCUACAAAAGACAGUGAAAGCUUGUUGGCGCUUGGUUUAUUUGGCCAUUUUUCUCUGCUGAGAGAUGGGCAAGGGCUUCUGAGUCUGCAUUUUGGGUAAAAUUUCAGUUUAAGUGCAAUCUUUUUUCUCUACUACAUGUAGGCACUGGAGGUGCUCUUUUGACUUAGUGAUCCAUGCAGUGACCAUCCAUGCCACAGAUACCUCCCUAUCCCCUUUUUCACCCCUCUCACAGACCGCAGCAUCCUCCUACCUGUCACACGGGGCCUUCCCCUGGGGUUCAUUGUUCUUGUGCUACAACUUAAGCUGAGUUAAGGAGGCAUGAAAAGAGCAGGAGAGGGAUUAUUCAGACAGAAUCUGCAGGAGCUAGCUACAGCUAGGAUGUGAGAUAAUGAAAGAAGUCCAAGGUAAGGUUGGCCAGCUGGUGAAAAUCCUGCUCCAUGGUAAGAACAGGAAUGUUGCAGUUGUUUUCCAGAAAACAAAACAAACAAAAAACACUGACAUUUUCUCUAAUUUUAUUCUUUAAGAAAUUAAUUUUCUGUCAGAAGGAGUUUUUCAGGUGAAAAUUCAUGGCUGUUCUAGGAAGAACUUCUAACUCCUGUUUGCCAUCUUAUCUUUAUCCUCACUUGCUCUGCCUUGAUAGGCAUGGUCUGGUCUACUUGAGUGCAUCCCAAAUGCAAAAACGCUGGCAGUCCUCUGCUGUCACCAUUCAUUGCAGCUCGCUCUGCCUUUAUGUUGCAUCCAGCAGAGGCUGCUUGGCUGAUGGCUGAAGGCCCUUCUGCUAUCUAUCAUUCGCUCAGUAUUAAAAGCUUUAUUCCCACAGUCUAUCUGCACGGGAUGCCAGCUUUCAUUGUCUGCCCAUUACAUUUUCAAAUAUGCAUUGGCACGCUUUCUCUGAAGCUGCCCCUCAUGCUAGGGAGUCGGUCCUCUGAAUACAUUACGAUAUCGCAUUAACCUCCUGUGAGACCCUCUUGCUAACUUGCUUCUUGUCAGUGCCUCCAAAAAUGAAUUCUGGCGUGCUAACACCAGUAGUUAGUACACUGGCCAGCACUGUUUUAUUGUCCUCUUCACUUCCUACCCUUCUCUCCACUGUUGUCUUGUUUUAUGUUUAGUUUACAGUCUCCUAAGGGCAAAGACUGUGUAUUUGUUCCAUCCAGUUUCUGGUUCUAGGUGCUUUGGUAUUACAGUUUCUUAUUAAUAAUAUACAACCAAUUGUCAUUUGAACAGAAAAAAAUCUUACUUCCCCCCUGCCCCCAUCUCCUCCAUGCCAGUUCCAGCAAGGGAGGUGGAGUGCCCUCAAACAGCAGAUACUUUGUUACUGGAGUCUAUAUCUGAGCAUACUUAGAGCCUUUGCACAUUGAAUUCUGCAAGAAGUCCUGUUUAUUUCAGCGUUAAUCACUGUGAACAAAAGUGAAAGAAUUUGGCCCCAACUAAUGCGAGACAGCAGCACUCUGCUGCUGGCAAAACGUGGAGCGAUCCUUUCCCAGGGCUUCAGGAAGCUGCAAGGGAGAGGGCGAACAGAUAGGUGCCAAUCUCUCAAUAAACUGGGCAAGAGUGAAGCAGCUUUAAAACGCACCCCUAUUAAAGCUACCCUAAAAUGAUUAUCAUUUGCAUAUAGAAAUAACCAGUAAGGAGAGUGUGCCAGGGAACAAGCUGGAACAUUUUGUCCUCGUUCACAGUGAUUCUUGUUUUUCUCACUCCGAAAUAUUUGUUUGUUUACUUAGAUGUAAAAGAGGACACCUACUCAUAUGUCCUUGGUACUUCUCACAUAACUUCAACCACAGAAUUAGUAUGCAAUUCACUGCAGUCUGCUGUUAGGAAAACAAGCAGUGGAAAACCUCAGAUCUUUUCUUCCCUUCCAGAAGUAACUCAGACUUGCAACAUCAGACUCGGGACAUUUAGCCUGUGAUAGAAAACAAAUUCCAGAGCUGCAGGACCCCCAAAGAGAUAAAGAUCAUUGCCAAGGAUAUAAAUAUUACUUGAUGUAUGUAUAUCCGGCUGUCUGAGCUACUAUUUGAAGCUACAGAAGUACAGCAACACCAUUUGGAGUAUAAUAAACUUCAAGAAGCUUCAUUAAUUUACAGUCAGUUCUUGAGGACUUAGGUGUAUUGUAAAGUUUGGCAUUGUGCUGAUUAGCAUCAGACUGAACCAGGGAUCCUGUAUUACUAAUUGAUUUCAUCUUUGGUUCUGUUAUUUCUUUUUAAGAGAUACAAGUUGAGGAGGUUGUGUCCACUGAAGAGCACGCAGUAACUGAGGUUGUGCUCCUUUCGUGUUUUCCUCUGCAAGACAUUCCCGGGUUUGUUUUUCCACAAGCAGACAACUCUUCUGAUGUGGUUAAACUAACACAAAACGCUGACUCUCCGUAACUAAGGUCUAGA